CCCCAGUAUUGGCAUAGUUGUGGUGUACAAGUUAGUGUUAGGGCGUGAUGUUACUCUGAGCUGGUACCCCGUUACCCUUUGGGGUCGCUAGGGCUGACAGAUCCCCUAGCUUACACUCAUAUUGUACACCCGCAAAACGCCAAUACAUAGGGUCAAAAAUAUAUAUUUUACAGCUGGCAUAUAUACCCUCUUGUGGGAUGUGGUAUUGUUAUUGAACGAGGCAAUGGUUGGAAGAUGAGGCAUCGCGUGAAAUGAGGCGACUGGUGAGUUAGGAAUGUGGAGGAGACACCCCCAUUGUGAUGGAAGCAGUGGUUGACCGAUGAUUGAAGUCAGUGGCGAGCCGAAUUUGGUGGCAGAUGUGCUACUGGAGUUAGCCGAUAUGGAGGUCAUACCGGACAGAUUGGCAGGGACCCCUGGGCUGUCUGGAAGACCACAGGGAGACGGGUCAAGUUACGUGUUCGUGAAGACUUGUCAGGGUGGAGAGGACGAGCAACGCAAGGAUAAUGUCGCGUUGAGUAAUGAGAGUACUGGAAUAUGGCGUGACCUUGAGGUGAGAGGCUUUAGUACCCGAGACGUGGACAACAUGGUGUGUAGGUAGUUUUUGGACAGACCUGCAAGUGUUGAAGUUGGAAUUUGACGUGUUCCAUACAAGAUUGUGGAGAUCCUGGUUUAUUGGUAUAGGAAAUCUGAGGCAGCGGAGUUUGACGUACAAGGGAAGCAGAGGCUGAUGUGCAAGAAGUGUUGAAGAGAAGGAUGACGCGAGCCAGACCGUGAAGAAGUGAAAUGAGUUUAGAAUGGCGAAGAUAUGAAGUUACAUUACAGAAAUUUGUUCCCGAAUGAAUAAUGUGUACACUAGUAAAGAUGAAUGUGAAAUGAAAUAGUUUAAAUUGCAUUUGUUAGUUUGAAGGGGAGUGUGUUAUAGUUUUUAUUUAAUGUUGAGAUCAUAAUGUAGUCGUAGUGAGCGGGAAUAAUGUAUUUGUUUUUGGCCUAAGUAGUAUGUCCUGAAACGGUGUUCUCAUGAUAGACGGGGCAAAAUGUGUUUGUUGUCAAACGGCCUCACUGUGUGGCUCGUUGUCACGGUGAGGGGCUGUGUAGGUCAGUCCUCUGUGCUUUUACAGCCUUAUGCUCCUGAUGCUGCCUUUACGAAUUUUGGCAGGGCCGUUUUGGUUUAACUCUUUUCAUGCCCCCCCCCCCCCCCAAGCAUUUUGUUUUGGCCAUAAGUAGUGCUGUUAUUUCGUUCGUCCCCCUACUUCUUUCGUUCCCUAUCCAUUGUUGUGAUGUGAGUGUUGUUUGUUGUUAAAUGGUAUAGAGUCUGUUCCAUUUAUCUGGGUGUAAAUGUCCCUCUUUGCCUUAGUGAUGUUAAGCACCUCCUGGACUCGUUGCGACAGUCGGUGGUCGUUUGUUGUGAAAUGAACGGUGUCGUUGAUGUGAGAAACACCCGAGAGCGUGUUUUUGAAGCGUUGGUCGUCGGUUUAUGUCGAUAUCUUCUGAAUUGUGGUGAGGCCACUCAUGUGGAGUCUUUGACUUUGACCGUUUGUGUUGAUAUUUUUGUCUGCUCGUCGUGCGUGUAGUUAGAAUUGACGUGGUAGGUUUUUGAUGGGCUGGAUAACAGUGGUAGGAGUGAUUUUGGCGUGCUCGUAUCGUUGUUUCUCCACUGCUGUUUCGUUGCGUAGGUGGCAGUCUGGUCUGUGCGUGUUCCUCGCUGCCUCGUCGUGUUUUGAGUGUCUUCAACGCUGCCCUCAGGUGUAUCCCUCGCUGUUCCUUCCAGGGCACACGGAAGUGUGUUCGCACUUAUGUUAUGUCUGGUUGUGAUGUUCGGCACUCCUUCGUAAGUGUGUUGUUUAAUGUUAUCCUUUAGAUGUUCCCAGUUUUGUCCGCCUUGCGUAUAAGGCUCGUUUGUCUGUUUUUGAAGUUGUGUGCGCCCCGGCCCUCUGCGGAUGUAGGGCAGCUGGCUGUGAUGACAUUGAGAUGGUUUGCCAUGUGGCUCCGUGCACGUAUCAGUAUUUAUUGAAUGUGCAUAACGAUGUGUUUGAAUCGUGUUCCUUUUUUGAGGCUUGUAUGCCGUUGUACUGGGUAUCGUGAAACCCGGGUGUGUGUACGUUAGCAAAUGAGUUCGGCGGUAUUGGCGUGACGAGUUGUUUGCAAGGUGUUUGAGCGUAUGUUAAAUGUCCGUGUGAUGUUUGAAGAGCGUCACGACGUGUGUGGUCGUGAAAUUAGGUUUUGCAAGUGGUGCAGCACAAGUGAUGUGCCUGUGAAGUUUGAGGUGUAUAUUUGUAGUGCUUUUGCUGGGAAUAGCUGCGUUGUUGUUGUCGUCGACGUUGAAAAUGGUUAUGAGAGGACUUUGAGAUAGCAUAUUGUGUAUGAAGUUCGUUGUUUUGUCGUUCGUGGCAAUAUCCCUCUUCGUUUAAAGGUUUGUCUCGUCGUAGGUUUCGAGUCCGGGUUGGUGCGACUGUGUCUGCGUGUUUUCGGGAGUCUGAAGAUGUGCCCCAAGGUAUUGUUGUGAGUACUACUAUUAGUACUAUUGUUGUGUGUCCUGAGUAGUUUUUGUUAGCGUGAAUGGUGUGUGUUCGUCCGUUCGUUGUGGCAUGUUUUAUUGUGUUUGUUUAUGAUGUUAGUGUGAUGAAUGGGGUCUCCUUCAAGGGGGUCUUCAAGUUUUGGUUGAUGCCGUUUCAUGUUUGGCCGGGGAUCAUGGGUUGAAUUUGGUUAAUAGUAAGAGUUUUUGCAUGAGUUUGACUGAAGCGGGUCGUUGUUUGUCCGUGUUUGUCACUUUAUGGUCAUCCCCUUGAGUACAAAGAUUGCAGGAAGUUAAUGUUGUUAUUCUUUGACACUCGUUUGUCUUGGUGGUCGCACGUGUUUUAGCUGUGUUGAAUGCUGUAAGGGCCUUAACCUACUUAAGGUGUUGUCUCAUAGUUGUUAGGGAGGACAUAGGCGGACGGUGGUAUAUUUGCAUUGGUGUGUGGUUGAUCAUGGUUUGGCUGCGUAGUCUUGUGGUUGUCGUUGUACUGUUGGCCGUUUGCACCAUAGUGGGUAGCGCGUCAGCUGUGGUUGAUUUCGUUCAAGUCGUAGCCUUGGGUUGUACGCUGACAGUGUCUUUGUGCCUGAUUUUGAUGUUGCGUGAUUUGUACAGCAUCGUGAGGGUUGUGUAUGGUGUUUUGAGUUUACGGUUGUUUAUUUAGCGUUGCUGUUCAGGACGUUUGUGUCCGUUGGUGUCGCUUACAAGAAUAUUAUUAAUAAUUUUUUAUUGUUCCCUGGUUGCCCCCGGUGAGGGUCCCCCUUGGCCAAUUGUGUACAUGUGUGACCCGGAUCACUAAAUGUUUGAGCGCUCCUACAUAUAUGAAAUGGGUGUUCGUUGAGCACUGUUGUUGUCAGUGGCAGUGCGUUUCCAUGUUCACGGAUGGGUGUAUGUGUGGUAUUUGUUUUUCGUGAGGGUAGCAUGUUUUCCGGAUAACUGUAUGGUAUUGUGUAUGCUGUUUGUUUCGUGGUUUCGUGGUGUUUUUCUUGGUAGUAGUUGAGUUUCGUAGUGUCCUGAUGGGUUUCUGGUCGUAUAAUGGGGUCCAAGCGGUGGUAAUGUAGAAUCAACAUCGGGUGGUUGUUAUGUGGAGUAAACAUAAGUGUUUCGUUUGUCUUUGUUCCCAGCCAUGUUGGUGUAUGUUUAAGUGAGGGUGGUGAUGGUGGGGGUAAGGACGCUAUGCGCACUUGUCCCAUUUGGCGUAAAGUUGUUAUUUAUUCCGACGUUGACGGGGUUAUUAAUGUAGCGGCUGGGUGGUUGUUAAUGUGGAAAACUGAAUGUUUCUGUGAUGGUCGUACUGAUCGUUGUUGAAUGUCGUGAAUUGAAAGUGUUUGAGUCAUAAAUGUUUUAUGUGUAUGGGGUUAUUGGGUUUUGUUGUCGUAUUUUGAUCGUUGUUAAUAUUUAUCGUUGUGUGAUGUUUGAUAAUUGGUGGUUGUAGAUAUCGUUCCCGGUUUUGUGUUUUUGUUUGAUAAUUAGUUACAAACUGUUACUUGAUAAGAUAUAAUUAACAGUGGAAGAACGCGUGUUCGUUGAUGAUAAAUAAAAUAAAUUGAGACGUAGGUAAGGUUGCGGGGUUUGUACCAUAUGUUGACAGUGGUGUAGGUAGUUGAAAUGUGAUUUGCAGAGAAAUGUAAUAGUGUUGUGUUUUGCGUGCGGGAUGUAGUGACUUUGACAUGAUUUAAUAAUGUUUGUAAAAGUUAUUAAAGAAAUAUAAUGUGUAAUUGAGCAUUGAAGUUGUUUGUUGUUAAAUAAGAUUGAGCAAGAGAUUGUCAAUGUUGGACGUCGACGUUUGAAGGGUGGACGAAGAAGAAAGUUAAAAAAAAGAAGAAAAGUAAUGGGUUUGACGUAGUAAAUAAGAGAAUUUGUAUGGUGGAAAUGUUACAUCUAGGCAAUGCCUAAAAAAG